AUCACGAAACUUGAAAUUAGGUAGCUAUCAGCUUCUCGUUCCUUUGUCUUCCUCUAGUGUGGCUCUGGUGAAGGCCUGGAGUUGUGCAAAAAUGUGUUUAAGGAAGUGGAGCUUUAGAUGUCAUGAGGAUAACAAGAAUAAUCUAGGCAAGAUCAAGGCACUGGACCCAAAAGCUGUUGUCCAGUGAACCAAGGUACAGCGCGCGCACGCACACACACACACACACUGUCCCAGUAUUUCAGUGACAGCCACCAGCGUGCUAAACCCUGUUGCAGACACUUGUCGUGUCAAGUGGCAUCUGCAGGAUUGCCAGUUCUCAAGGUUUCCUGGCAGAACAAUCCUUUGUGAUUAUUGACACCUUAAUUGUGUACUGAGACAUGUGCAACACAUUCCAUGGCAUGGAACACUGCCUAAAAGGAAUUAAAGGAACAAUGAGAUGCAUGAGAUCUUAAAAUUGCACCUUAAUUGCCAUGGGUGUUUUAUGUGGUUUUGUGGCUUUAAUGUCAGAGAUGACGGUAAACAUGUCAGAGAGGGGCGGGGUGACGCGCAGCAAAGGGCCUCAGGCCGGGACUCAAAGCUGGAGCAUUUGCUUUUGUUUUACACUGUGGAUCAUACCAUGGAGACAAACUACAAAAGAAGAUGCAUGUUUCUGGUCACUGAAGACUUUUUACAUUUUGUCCAUUAAAAUGUAUGCAAACACUGUUUUUUU